GAAUGAAAAACAACUAGCAUUACAAAAUGAAUUGAACAACCAUAAUCCAUACAUUGAGCAUCAUGAUCUCGAUUCCAUUGCGCAGCUAAAUUCAGAAGCAAGCAUCCAACAAGACUCAUACAUGAACUAACUACAAAUCACUCCCCAUAAAUCAUAACUCAUAACCAAUUGUACAGCAACCUUCAAAUUAGUAACAACAUGCUCCAAGCUGGAUAGAUCAUCAUCCAUUCAUAACCGUACACUACUUAAGAACAGCAUCAACUACCUGUCUGAAUGUUCUGAACCCCAAGGGGACGUCAAUACACGUAUGACAGCAUCACUCCUAAUCGCUCAACAACAAAUAUUCAGCAAUGCAUACUAAUUUGAUUGAUUUAGGGAAACACACCUCUUAGCCCAACCAGGUGCCUGUAGGACUGUAGGAACUUCAUCUUCCCGGUGGACAUCUCGGACACCAGCGGCGACGCCUUUCAUCUCACACCUUUUGCCAUGUCUUCCUCACAACCUGCUUGUCCGCGCUCAUGGCUAGUCCCGCCGAUUGCUCGGCAGCCGGUACCAAACGAACCACUGUGAACGCUGCCGGUUCCAUCGGGGUUGCACUCUCAUCCAAUUCCUCCAGAAAGGGGAAUCUGCAACCCUCCAUUGCAAGAAAAAAAAGCAAGCAAUCAACAAAUCGCGAAUUAAAACACCAUGCUUCUAAAAACGAUACUGAUGUUACCUGCUCAUGGGUCGCAUCAGCAACUCCAUCACCGCCAAUGGAGUCGCCCCUCUCCACCCCUGUCGUCUCAGCAAUUCGACCCUUUUGACCAAAAACGAGUAAUAGAUCCUCAAAGUAUCAACCUAACCGAAAUUAAUUCUCUCCAUCUACACAAACCUGAAAGCGAACCUCCUGUGCCUUGGAUCAGCUUCCGUAGUUGUGCUCCUCAGGGUCUUCUGCUAUGUACUAAUCAUUGUCUUUGGACAGCAACAACAUGAUGAGAGCAAGGCAAUCGCAACGACACGACAUAGUGUUGUCAAACCCCGCCUUUCCCUGAAAAAAAAACACGAAAAAAGAUAGAACAUUUCAGCUAUAGCUCCUGCACAAAAUUAUUUGAAAUACUAACAAGUGUCAAAUCCUUAUUCCCAUACUGCACAGGGAAGGGGGGCAGCCCGGUGCAUGUAGGUCCUGCUUGCGCAGGGUCCGAGGAAGGGUCCGACCACUUUGGGUCUAUAGUACGCAACCUUACCCUACAUUUCUGUAAGAGGCUGUUUCCAAGACUUGAACCUGUGACCUCAUGGUCACAAGGCAGCAGUUUUACCACUGCGCCAAGGCUCCCCUUCUAUUCCCAUACUGCACAGCCGC
rnacentral:lncRNA from 1 species